CGCGCAGGCGGUUCGUUAAGUCCGAGGUGAAAUCUCCCGGCUCAACUGGGAGGGGUCUUCGGAUACUGGCGGACUUGAGGUGAGCAGAGGUGAGCGGAAUUCUGGGUGUAGUGGUGAAAUGCGUAGAUAUCCAGAGGAACACCAGUGGCGAAGGCGGCUCACUGGGCUCCACCUGACGCUGAGGCGCGAAAGCGUGGGGAGCGAACCGGAUUAGAUACCCGGGUAGUCCACGCCGUAAACGAUGGACACUAGGUGUGGGGGGUAUUGACCCCCUCCGUGCCGCAGCUAACGCAGUAAGUGUCCCGCCUGGGGAGUACGGCCGCAAGGCUAAA
rnacentral:rRNA from 1 species